GGAGGAUGAAGCACUGAAAGUCUCCCUAUCAGCAGAACUUUAAGAAGUAAUUACAAAAAUAUCAUAAUAUGUAUUUGCAAUUAACGAACAAAAGAAAUACGAUAAGAGAAUGGCAGACAACUCGUUAGACUAAUUGUCCAAUAUUUUCAUUAUCAACACUAAGAGGAGAAAACAGGAUUAUAUCUUGGCCAAAGUAGUGCAGAGAUAUUUAGCUUUCCAAAUAUUAUGCUUUCAUGUAACUUCUUUUCUUUAUUGCUUGUCUGUUGGUUAAAGCCAUUCCUAUUUUCAAUGAGUAGAGCAACCAAACAAGCACUAUAGGAGUUGCCAACCACAGAAAAGCUGGAUAUUUCCAUAGUUUCAAUUGAUCUUGUGCCGAUAGUUUUAACUUGCAGGACCAAAACCUUCCAAUUCCCAUUCCCUACUCUAGGAAAAUAGAAG
rnacentral:misc_RNA from 1 species